UAACUUAGGGAGAAGGGGUGCCUACGAGAGUAGGCCGCAGUGAAUAGGCUCAAGCAACUGUUUAUCAAAAACACAGGUCUCUGCUAAAGCGUAAGCUGAUGUAUAGGGGCUGACGCCUGCCCGGUGCUGGAAGGUUAAGGGGAAUAGUUAGCGCAAGCGAAGCUAUGAACUUAAGCCCCAGUAAACGGCGGCCGUAACUAUAACGGUCCUAAGGUAGCGAAAUUCCUUGUCGGGUAAGUUCCGACCCGCACGAAUGGCGUAAUGAUUUGAGCACUGUCUCGGCAAUAAAUCCGGUGAAAUUGUAGUGCAAGUGAAGAUGCUUGCUACCCGCGGUUGGACGGAAAGACCCCGUAGAGCUUUACUGUAGCUUAGCAUUGAAUUUCGGUAUUGUCUGUACAGGAUAGGUGGGAGACUUAGAAGCGAGGGCGUCAGCUUUCGUGGAGUCGUCCUUGGGAUACCACCCUGACAGUACUGGAAUUCUAACUGGAGGCCAUGAAUCUGGUCACAGGACAUUGCUAGGUGGGCAGUUUGACUGGGGCGGUCGCCUCCUAAAAGGUAACGGAGGCGCCCAAAGGUUCCCGCAGCGCGGGCGGAAAUCGCGCGUAGAGUGCAAAGGCAGAAGGGAGCCUGACUGCGACACAUACAGGUGGAGCAGGGACGAAAGUCG
rnacentral:rRNA from 1 species